ACGCCCAUAAACAAAUUGGACCUGUGAAAAAAAGUAAACAAAUGUAAGAUAACACUCAAAAUUACAGAACAAAAUAUUAGGCUUCAUUUGUUUCCCGGAAAACAACUUAGCUGCAAAAAAGUAUUUUCUAAGAAAUGAAUUGUUCUCUGUUAUUUGGUUACAAUACAAAAUUCCAUCAGAAAAUAUUUUAUGGUAUUUUAAGUAAUUUGAAAUUAAGGCUUAGUUAUUGUUAUAAAGUACUUUGGAGGGAAAAAAAGCAAAUUUCUCUCAAAAUACAUUUUUUUGGAAAUGUUUGAACCUAAAAUAACUUCUUAUUUUUCUAUUCAUCACAAAUUAUGACAAAAAUUACAUAAAAAAUAAUGAAUUAUGGUUGUUGCUAAAAAUGGCCAUCAAGGUCAAUAGUUGGUGACAGUCAAGGAAGACUAAUGGUAGUUAGUAGGAUUAGCAUAGUUAUCAGGCCCGGCCAAGAGCUUGACCCACCUGAGAGAUGGGGUUAAUGGGUAAUUG
rnacentral:misc_RNA from 1 species